UACGAAGGGAGCUAGCGUUGUUCGGAAUUACUGGGCGUAAAGGGCGCGUAGGCGGCCAUGUAAGUCAGAUGUGAAAGCCCCGGGCUUAACCUGGGAACUGCAUUUGAUACUGCAAGGCUAGAGAAUGUGAGAGGUAAGUGGAAUUAUGAGUGUAGAGGUGAAAUUCGUAGAUAUUCAUAAGAACAUCAGUGGCGAAGGCGGCUUACUGGCACAUUACUGACGCUAAGGCGCGAAAGCGUGGGGAGCAAACAGG
rnacentral:rRNA from 1 species